GGGAGAUAAUAGUGUCCAAAUCACGGGAGCAAACUCUCAACAAUUCUCCUAAACGGAUUGCAGCACAACUGAGCAAUAUUAUGAAGAUGCAUCUACCCAACCACCUAACAAGCCAAAGAACCAAUCUGUGAAAAGAAAGAAUUCUGAUAUGGGUUCCAAAUCCCAGCAAUCAAGACCCAGAAAACAAGCUGUACGUAGAAAGACAGAUGAUUCCACAUCAAAGGGAGGAGCAAAUAUACAUUUCCAACCUACCACAAGUGAUCUUUCUAUUGUUCAGCAAAUCCAACCCGAGAGAAAUUUCCCUCAAAAGCUAGGAAAACCACCAUUGAC